rnacentral:ncRNA from 2 species
UUGUUAUCAAGAAAGGUUGAGGGAUUAGACCCAAGGAAGCCUUGGCAACCCUUUAUCUUUAAAGAAGGUGCUAAUUUCUACUGCGAGAUAAACAGAGAGAUAACGG